AAUAUUUAAAGAUAAGCAGGUUAAGGGAAGAGUGGUGAAAAUCCACCGCAGACCCGCUACUGUAAAGGGUUACGAAAGCUGUACUAAGCCACUGUUAAACACUUUUUAUAGAGUGAUAGAUGGGAAGGCACAGCAAUUAGGCUGACCCCUUAAGCCAGGAGACCUGCCUGCUUAGACGAAUUAAU
rnacentral:ncRNA from 2 species